AGCGAACGCUGGCGGCAGGCCUAACACAUGCAAGUCGAACGAACUCUUCGGAGUUAGUGGCGGACGGGUGAGUAACACGUGGGAACGUGCCUUUUGGUUCGGAAUAACUCAGGGAAACUUGUGCUAAUACCGAAUGUGCCCUUCGGGGGAAAGAUUUAUCGCCAUUAGAGCGGCCCGCGUCUGAUUAGCUAGUUGGUGAGGUAACGGCUCACCAAGGCGACGAUCAGUAGCUGGUCUGAGAGGAUGACCAGCCACACUGGGACUGAGACACGGCCCAGACUCCUCGGGGAGGAAGCGGGGGGGAAUUUUGCGAAGGGGGAGAAAGCCGGACGCAGCCAGGCCGGGUAAAGGAGGAGGGUCUUAGGUUUGAAAAUUUUUUCCCCGGGGGACGAAAAGGAGGUUCCCGGGAAAAGAAGCCCGGGCAAACUUCGUC
rnacentral:rRNA from 1 species